rnacentral:lncRNA from 1 species
CUGCAGAUUGUCUGCACCAGUGCACUUCAAUCAAUUCCAGUGUGCCUAUGUCUGCAAAAUCAUUCGGGAUUUCCUCGAGGUCUUUGCAAUUUUGCAAGACAAGCCGUUCAAGUUUGGGAAGGUGAUCACAAGUAGCAUUCCAUCGACAAAUGUUCAGAUCGUCUAACUUCAAGAAUUUAAGUUCCUUGAACUGUUCUUCCUCCAUUUCCCAUAUCAGCCCCUCAAAGGCACCAAGACGUAACUUGAGGACUUCCAGGUUGGGUAGUCUCCCAAUUGUUGAGAUGUGGCUCCAUGGUAGGUGAAAGUUUGAAAGAGUCAAUUCCCUCAGAUUUGGUGGGAGAACGAAUUCACUUGUGAUGGCUCUCCCAAAGUAAAAUACAUUGAGCGACACCAAAUGAGCAAGAGAAUCCAGUUUUGGAAACUGUCCACAAUUCUUGGAAGAAUCCCGUGGGUGAAAGAAUAUGCAUUUCAGUUUACGAAGAUUUGGCAACCUCUUCACUAUGUUCUCUGUAUCUUCAGCACAAGAAAGAGAGAGACGGGAAAAGCUAACCAAAUUUCCCAACUCACAGCAGCCGCCAAACUCUUUAUCACCCAACUUGAAAACAACAUGCAUGUUCACAUGGAGAUGCCUCAACCUUGCCAUGCUCCACAUAUUGUCUGGUAAGACAACCUGGCCACGUAACCCCUUCACAACAAAAGUUUCCAAUUUUCGGAGAUUGGCUAUGGAUUGUGGAAUAGAACGCAUAUACCCACUAACCGCCAAAUACCUCAAAUGAACCAAUAGUCCUAUUUUAACAGGAAAGGUAAUACCAAUGUUGAUCAUUUCAAAAUCCAACGUGCGCAGAAGUUUGAAGUUGCGACAAAUGAAUGAGAUGUCGUAAGGACAUCUAGGCUCUGAAUCAGUUGAGGGAAAGAAUAUUAUAGAACGGGUGCCCAGCCCGGAAGGUACUGAUUCAAAAAAAUGAACUCGCUUCAAAAAUAUGCACAACCGAUAGGAUUCAUAUGUUACGCGAUCAGAAUAAUGGCCAAAAUCGAAUUCAAAACCAAAAUCUGAGCUGGGAAAAGAAGCAUAUGGCUCAUCAGACCUGGUUAUUAACUUGAAAAAGUUCUCUUCUUUGGCUUUUAAAUGACAAAAAUCACGUAACAGAUCAUGCAAGCGGCAAGUUUUCACCUCUCCAUUGGAUUUUUUUUUGGAGAUUUCCACCAGGCUUCUGCUAAUCAACUCCAUCAAGUAACCUUCAGCAAUACAUUCCAAGCUCUUCAACUCAGAGUCAUGGAUGAAUCCUUCAGCAAGCCAAAGCCGUAUCAACUUGCUAAUUGGAAUAUCCUUGUCUUCAAGGAAAACUCCCAAAUAAAGAAAGCACGGUUUUAGAUAUCUUGGUAAGUGUUUGUAACUCAAUUCUAAGAUUUCCAUGCACCGAGCUUUUGGAUCUUCCAUAACUUCAGCAAUCAAGCUUUUUGCAAUUUUGCCCCACGAUUCUGAGCUCUUUUCUAUCCUUUGGAGGAGACCAGAUAUUGCAACAACAGCAAGAGGCAAUCCUUUACACUUUUUGGCAAUUUCCUUACCAACUAGCGACAAUUCUUCAGGACAGCCUUCACCAUGGAAUACUUUCCCUACUAACAAGUUCCAACUUUCAUCUUCAGAAAGUAAGCGUAGAGAAUGAGGAUCACUAUCUGGUUCAAUUUGUAAGGCCACAUCACGAAGGCGACUCGUAAUCAAAAUUCUGGUUCCAUUAGCGUCCUCUGGGAGUGAAUUUCUUAACUCAUUCCAAACUCCAGCAUCCCACACGUCAUCCAUAACAAUGAGAAACCUGUUUCUUAGUAAGCACUGAUGCAAUUUUAAUUGGAGAUCUUCGUUAGUCAUUAGACGAAUUUCAUCCGUAAGCCCGAGAAUGCCACGUAAAAUCUCCAGCAACAGUUCUCUUUUCUCAUAUACUUGUGAAACAGUACACCAUGCACGACAAUGAAAGUGAUCCAUAACAUAUGGAUGGUUAAACACUUUCCAAGCCAGAGUUGUCUUGCCAAUACCAGGCAUUCCAAUAAUGGAAACAAUGCCACGCCGUAGGGAUCCUUUGAUGAGUUGAUCAAUCACAUAUUGUUCUUCAUCUAUGAGGUCGACCACCAUUUCAUUGAUUGCUGCCCGUGAUAUCAUGUUGGGUGGAACCUGGAUGAUGUGUUUGCUACUUAGGACUCUGGCAUCUGAGGUUGUCAACUGAAUACUAGAGGCUUGCUUAUUAACAAUCCUUAACUCCUCUAGCAGAUCAUAAACCAAAAAGAUGUGCUGCCAUUGAGCAUCACUCUCAAUUGAGUCAAUAACAUACUCAAUUUUAUAAGCUAUAUUGGCAGCACGAACACCAAGGACCUUCACUUCUGGAUUGCCAUCAAUAUCCGACUCCGAAACUUUCAUGAGAAAGGAACCCAAUGAGUCGAAAUGUACAUGAAUCUCUUUUAUGUAAUUCCUGACUUGUUCAAUUGAUGCAGGAUCAUAUUUCAGCAGCUCCUUUAGGUUUCUGACGAGGAAAUCCAUGAACCCUGGCAUGCAAGUCUUGGGAAUAUCAGAAAAUGGAAAUUGGGGACUUAGCUCUCUAAGCUCAGUCCUGAUAUGAUUCUGCUUGUCUAGCAGCUGUGAAGAUGGCGUGAUCAUAUUGAUGAUGGGUCCUGUCAUCCCUGCAUCAAAAGUUUCAGUUUGUGGGAAGAUCACGUCCAUGUCCUGUGUCUCCUUCUUUAGCUGGUUGCAGAGAAGUGUGAAAAGAUUAAGCCGCGCGAGUAGUGCAAUUUGAUCUUUUCGAUAAGCCAUGGAAUUUGCUGCCCUACUAUUCUCAAGUGAUAACUUCUUAAAUAAUGCUUCUGCUUUGAAAGCAACAAUGUUAAGAAGCAAUAGGAGAAUUGAGUUCCUCACCGUGGGUUCUGUUAUCUUCUUGGCCUCAAAUAACUGAUGGAGAGAUGCUACCUUGUGGUCCAUUUGUUGAAUGAGAGCCGCAGUCUUAUUCCCAUAUUCUGCCUCAUAUUCUGCCUUUCCAUGCGGAUGUUUUUCCAAACAUUUUAUCAAUUCUUUUGUCAUCCAAUAAACAUCAUCUUUAGCACGAUUGAGUAGAUCUUUAAUUUGGAAAGUGAUCCCUUGAAUGUUACGGUGAAGCAUCCCCUUGAGGAAAAGCUCCGUCUGGAGAAGACCAACAUUUAUUCGCAGCUCGGAAAGUCUAGGCUCAACAUUUUGCCGCCUCAGUUUGAGAGAUCCCGUCUCCAUGAGCACCGUAUGAAAUUCUGCAAAGAAAAUUGGCAUCGUCUGAUCGUCCUCCUUCUCCUCCAGUUUGGUGAAGACUAAAAGCUUUAACAGCUCAUGGAUCACUAGAUAAUAGUUGCCUCCAAGAUCUCCGACCCUCACUCUAGGGGCAACGUAAUUGCAAUAACGAAAGCAAAAAUCGGGCUUAACUCCAAUUUUAUGGAGAGAUACAAGGAAAUGGAGAUGGAACUCCAUGAAUCUGGGAUUAGUAGGAUCGAUCUCAUGUUGCAAAUCCACUAGAGGUUUCAUUAGCUUAAUCCUUUCUUCCUCUUUGAUUCGGUCGUUCGUUUUUCUGCAGUAAAUCUGGUACUUAAAAGCGUGGAUUGCAAUGCGUACCACCACAGAUGCAACACGAGUCACGAAAUCAUUGAUAAUAUUUACAUCAUCACCACUUGCUCCUGCUGCUGCUGCUGCUGGGAAGUCGAGAUCCCUGAAUACAUCUUCCAUGUAAUUCCGGAUCAAGCGUAGCUCUGCCACCAGGGCAUCGACUGGCUCGCCCCACCGCAUACUCGCCACAAUCCCGGCUAGAGUGGCUAAAAAUUUUAACCAAAAAGAAACAUCAGAUGGUGAUUGCAGUUGGCACGACGACCUCCCGGAUAAAACCAAAAGGUGUUCAACUGCUUCUCCGAUCUCUUCGAUCACAUUGCAGGCUUUCUUGUAAUAAUCUUGGAGAAUUUCGUCGUCCACCAGGGAGUGGGACAGCUUCAUCUUGUUGUUGUCGUUGUUGUCUGUAAGUAUCAGUUCCCGGUCAAUCUCCUGGGCUGCAGCUUCGAUCUUGAAUCCCAUAUUAAGCAGCACCCGCUCUGCAUGUUCAUCUCUCAUCAGCUUGUGAGUUGCUUCCCAAAUUAACCUCAAAAGCUUCCAAUCCGAGAUGCUUUCACGUACGAAUGCACCACCAAUCGGUAACUUAUGCAAGAAAAAAUCUAUGACAUCCCAGCCGGGAAUACCCAUCUCCAGCUCCAGAAUUUUGAUCUCUGACAGGUGCCGAACCUGUGCAAUAAUAAUAAAUAAAUCCUAACUACCACCUGAAACAGUCAGUAAUCAAUUCGAGUACUGGAGCAGGGACUCUAGGUGUGCAAUGGGUUACUUGAUUCACCCUGUUCCCGAAGAGUUUGCUUAAUCCGAUAUAGCUGAAUUAAUUAUUUAACUGGAUUCCCUAACUAGUAGACAGUGAUAAGCAGGGUCGUCUCCUCAGGGACUGGAGAGAUAUUUGUUUCUUUUCAAAUCAAGAUUAAUGGGGGGGUUUUGGUAUCAAAGGCCAACUAAACAAAAUAAAUGUAGAAAGUAAUUGAUUAAAAACAAUAAUUGGAGAAGCUCUAGCCAAGGGUACACUUUAGGAAUGGUUCACGCAACUGAUCAUCGAUUCACAGAUAAUUCCAACUUUUAUUAAUAGAUUGGUUAUAGCUGUCUCGCACGCGCUAAACAACCAACCCUUCCUUAAUUUCUCGAUAGCCAAGGUACGACCGUUAGCUAUUUCUCUAACCCAAAAAUAACCCUAGGUACGACCGUAGGAUUUAAUUUCUAGAUUGCAGUAAUAAUUAGAAAGGCCCAAUCCUAACCAAUAAACACGCUACGAGGGUUUAUUUAAGCUAGAUCGUAUGCUCCCCUGACAUAAACCCAAUUAUGCCAGUUGCUACAAAGACAGAGAUAGCGAACAAUUACGGAUUCAGUUACCUCUAUUUAGCAAAAUAGCCUAUAUGAAUAAUUAAAUAUUGCGCAUCUAUUCAAUCACUCACAUGAGCUAUAGCGGUUAAAAGCAGGAAACAUAUGAAUACCAAUAAAUGCAGGAAAUAAUUAAAAGCGGUUUAGAUCUCACAGUAGUGGUUAACCCAUUCGUCAGUUGUCCCCUUGACUAGAUGGAGGAUUUAGCCACGCCGCAUAAUUAAAUCACCACACGAAUUAAUAGAUUGCAAAAGCAUUGCGUUUCCUAUUAAGAAGCAGGGAAUAAAAGGUGUUUUUCCCGUUGGGGAAUAUUGUCGAACACCUGGCGUGUGUCAGAGGCCAGUCGGGAGAAAAGAGAAAAGAGACUAAAAACUAGGCUAAAAACUAAACUAAAAACUAGCGAUCUUUUUUUUUCUUGUACGUUCCCUCCUUAAGAGACAAAAGAAAGAUAGACUAAAGCUAUCUAGGUGGUCCCCACACAUGUGGACAAAACCUCCUCAAGUACUUCCUCUUCCAAGUCUACUUCCGUAGCUCUCUUUGGAGAGCCCACAUGACUUAUGGCUUUGCGGUCCCCACCAAUCCAAAGGCCCAAGGAUUGAAGUCCUUAGAAGUCUCCAUAUUCUUCAUAAAGUCCCUCUUUUUUUGGUAGUUUGCUGCUUCCUCCUGAAAUUAAGUCCAUAUACCAAAUAUGAGUAGAUAUCAGCAAUUAACACAAUAUUUAUCAGGGAUAAAAGGGGAAAUUAAUAAUAAAAUGACUAACAAAUUACACCCUAUCAAUUCCCCCCACACCUGAAUCAUGCUUGCCCUCAAGCAUAAUUAACUCAGAAGUACGAUCAAGAUGCUAAACAAAUCACAGCAGUUCAUACCAAGAAUGGCAUUUCAAGCUCCCCAAUAACCUUAUCAAAAUCAGAAUAUACCAAAUCAACAAUUCUCGCUGUUUAAAGUGCACUCAUUCGCUCCAAAGUGUAUAUGAAAUGUAUAUAAGAUGGCUCUCAAAACAACACAGUAGAAUGACACCACCAUACGCUUUCUCAUAUAUCAUAUCUCCACCACUUACUCAUGAAUUUAAAUGCAGCAAUCAAGGGACUUGCAAGGUUGUAGUGGGGCUAGGGUGAGAAGGUAGGAUUGAAAGGGGUCAAAAGGGUGCAUAAGUGUAAAGAAAGUGCCCAAAAAUUCAUUACAUAGAUUCUUGCACCUUUGAAAUUUAAAGGCAUCUCAACCAUCACACAAGUGAAGUGAAUUAGCACUUGCCACAACCUUCGCCUUUUCUCCUUUUUCAUUCAUCUACUUCCCCUCUUUUCCCUUUUUUUUUUUUUUUUUUUUUUAGACUGCUUUUCUCUUCAAUACUCCCAACCAGCACCCUAAAGGUCAACUUUACUUGCUGGUUUCCUGCACUCUUUUUUUUCCUUCUUUUCACAUCCCCUUUUUUUCUGUUUUCUUUUUUUUUUCUUGUUUUAUUCACAGAUAGGUACGAUGCCCCUCUAGAAAUACUCCAAAAUUCUGUAUAAUGAAAUCAAAGCACUUCUUCACACAAGGUUCGAAAAGAAAGUCUAAAGAGAGGUUUUUCGGCUAGGAGCUGGGGUUUCUAGCAAAGAAUAGGAUGUAAAGCUCAACUUGGCUCCCUAAUGGUAAUAUAAUCCAAGGGUGAGUUUUGAGAAAGUCCAAAACGGCUCAUUCCUAGGUGCCCUAUCAUUUCAGUGCAUUGAAUUCAUUUAAAUGUGAUUUUGACAUGCACAACCGAGCAAGUUCUAGAAUGACAAACCAUGUGCACUAACCACUCAACAAAACGAAAAAUUAGGCCCAAAAAUCGCACCAGUGAUCAAAUGGAUGUCCAGUUCGGCAUAUUAAUCAAUCAAUUCAGUAUCAAGGAAAGUAGAACACCCCAUGGCAUGAACUUACUAUGUACGCUUAUAUCCCAAUUCGCAUUCAUCAUCGUUCAAAGAAAAGACAACUAUUAAGGCAAGGAAAAACUCAAGCAGACAACUAAAAACACCUCUAAAGCAUAGUUAACCCUCCCCCACACCUAAACCUGACAUUGCCCUCAAUGUAAGCAAAGUAAAACCAAAUUAGAGGUAUUGGGGCAACAACACUUCCCUUAAAACGGAGGAGGGCAGAAAUGAAUCACGGCUGCGGAGGAAAAGGCGGGCGGAAGCCCACGUGAUGGAGAUACUGCGCUAUAUUCUGGGCGACCCCGCCCAUUUGCCGCUCCAUCCGAUCCAUACGAGUGUCCAUGUGCUGCAUCUGGAACCGGAGGGCUGCAAGCUGGCUAUCGACGGAGGAAGAUGGUGGAGGUGCCGAAGAAGAUGGCCCGGGGGCAUCCGUGGACGGACCACCAGCCCCAGUCGCAGUGGAUUUGGAAGCUUUGCGCCUCGGGGGAACGGAGAUUGGCCCCGGGGGAGCAAACUGGAAAGCGCCAUUCACCUGUCUCACAAGACCCAUUUUCUCCAAACAAACCAAAUCAAGGGGCACCAUAAUACAAGCACGAUGCAAGUUAUGAUUAUUCAAGUCCAAAACCCCAAGGUUUACAGCUAACUGAGUAAUAAAGGAGCCUAAGAUUAAUGGCUUAUUUUUCUUACUUAGCACAGUUCGGAGGUGGAGGGCGAACCAGCUACCCAAAUUGACCCUAGUCCGAGUGACCAUGCACCAUACGAAAAAGAACUCGGGCUUAGUCAGAGUACCCGAGCUAUCCUUCCUACCUGAGAAACUAUAGGCCAUGAAUCUAUGUAACUAGCGGUAGGCGGCACUCUUAAGAUAAGAAGCCUUAGACUGACUGGGGUCAUAGCAUUGCUGGUCAACUGACAAGCCACUCCAAUAAUCAAGGUAAUGAGAGAAAAAUGGCUCUAUAUACUCGCACGCACUGUGCAUAUACUCCUCACUCUGGGAGUAAGGAAUAUCAAUAAACCCAAGAGCCAAAUUAAACUCAGUGAUAGAUUGGUUGAACUCUCUACCCAUUAAUCGAUACCUCACAACCCCAGGAGUGGUAACGGAGAAUUGCUCAGGAAUAUUAAAUUCAAAGGUAGCAUAGAAUUCCCACGUGAGUUCAGUAAAAGCAGGUUGAUUUAUAGAAGCAUAGUGGGCCCAACCUACAUUAGUCAAGUGCUGUGCGACCUCAUCCCUCAGGUUUAGCAAAUCUAGUGUAGGGCCAUGGAGGUAUUUACAAGGAAUUAUCUUCCUUGUGCAAGCCGAAGCAUACCGCUCCUUGUCGGCAGCCCGGGUGAAGGUUAAAUGACCGCCAAAAUGGGCCGGAGAGGAGAUAUGAAUCUCCCUAUUCCGUCCAAGGCGGGUACGAGGCCCUCCAGGCCCAGUCGAUGGGGCAGGUCCCUCUAAGGGGACCGUAGGCUGAGGAGAUGAAGUGGAAGGCUUAUUCUUACUUUUGGUUUUCGGUUUAGUCAUUGGGGAUUGGAAAAAAAAAGCAAAGUCAAGGUGAAGUCGGAUAAAACGGAGCGGUAGUUAAUGAACAAAGCAAAGGGUCCCCAAACACAGCUCCAAACACCAACAAGUGAACAAAUAGCAACCAAAUAGCCCAAAAAUCAAUUAAGUAGAUAAACAAUAAAAAUUGCACCCAAAAACUAAUUAAAUACUGAAACUACGAAAACUCCCCAAAUUCUACCAAACAACCUCAAAAAUUCCUUAAUUAAACAACCGCAGCAAAAUUUCCCCAAAAACUAUUAAAUAAACAACCAGAGUGAAAACUUUCCGCCAAUAUCUCUGAUUGAGCACCAAACUUCACAAAUAGACCACAAUCAACCACAGAUAUAUCACAGCACCCCAAAUAACACACAGUUUCUGUUCUCAGCUAACAAAUCAAAAAUCUGGCCUCAGCUAAGAAAUUAAAAUCUGACAUCAGCUAAGAAAGCUAGUAAUCUGGCCUCAGCUACUUAGGGACAGAAAAUUAAAGAAAGAAUUUACCAGGAGGGAUAGCCGGUAGUUGCUAAGGUUGGAAACGAAACAAAAAAUCUUUCCGAUCUUGGGCUGAAAACCUUCGAUGCGGAUUUGUCGGUUGCACCCCUGGUCGCGCGCGCGGACUGCAGCCUGCGACUGGCGGUGCUGGUUGCGGCUGACACUGAAGAGGCUGCGCGCGAUGGUCGCCCGAGGCGGAUGCUGUGCGGAGUGGCGCACGACUGGUGCUGAGGUUGCAGAGGAAGCUGCGCGCAGAGGAGCUGCUGGGCUGCGCGCGCGGUCUGGGCUCACGGCCUGCGGUCCGCGACUGCGGCUGGAUCUCGCGCUGGGGCUGCAGCGCUGGGCGGCGCCGCGCGCAGGGAGCGCGCUUGGGCUGCUGGGGUGGAUCUGGUGCGACGCGCAGGGAGCGUCGCGCGGAGGAGGUGCAGCGCAGAGAGGCUCGCGGCUGGGCUGGGCGGCGCGCAGAGGAGGCUGCGCGAUCCGGCGGCGUGCGGUUGGGCUAGGCGGCGCAGAGGAGCGGCGGCGGACCAAGCAAGAAGAGGAAAAGAAGAAAAGAAAGAAAAGGAAGAAGAAAGAAAGAAAAAAGAAGAAAGGAAGAAGGGCUACGGAGGUUUUUUUUUUUUUUUUUUUUAAUAAUAAUAAGGGCAAUUUCGUCUUUUUCUCCCUUUUUUUUUUUUUUUUUUUACGUGGCCACCUAGCGUGGGCACGUUCAACUGCCCUAGAGUCCGCAGAACCUGAUCGAAAAUUUCCUCCGUCAGGCGCGACCACCUGGCGUGGGCACGUCUAACUGCUAUGUAGUCCGCAGAUCCUGAACGAAAAUUUCCUCCGUCAGGCGUGACCAUCUGGCGUGGGCACGUCUAACUACUAUGGAGUUCGCAGAACCUGAGCGAAAAUUUCCCCCCGUCAGGCGUGACCAUCUGGCGUGGGCACGUCUAACCAUUAAUCUCCUGCCACAAAACAUCAAACCAUCAAUUGACACUAACACUUAACUAAAAUUUCAAAAUUGCAUGAAAACUAAAACAAAUAGUCUUGGGUUGCCUCCCAAGUAGCGCCUUUCUUUACUGUCUUUGGCUAGACAUGGCCAAAACCCCUAAGCAUGAUGAAGUGGAACUUGGAGGUGUUCAACUUCUACUUCUUCAACAUAGAAACCCUCAUAAUAAGGCUUGAGACGAUGGCCAUUCACCACGAACUUUUUCUCGGUUUUUAAACUUUGGAUCUCCACUGCACCAUAAUGAAACACAUUAGAAACGACAAAUGGACCAAUCCAACGAGAACGCAACUUACCGGGAAAAAGUUUAAGCCUUGAGUGGUACAAGAGAACUUUUUGCCCCACUACAAAAGUUUUCCUAGAAACCUGCUGAUCGUGAAAGAUUUUACUCUUCUCCUUAUAGAUCGUGGCAUUUUCAUACGCCUCAUUUCGUAUUUCUUCUAACUCUUGUAGCUGCAAUUUCCUUUGGGCCCCUGCUUCAUCUAAUCCCAUAUUACACUGCUUCACCGCCCAAAACGCCUUGUGUUCGAACUCCACGGGGAGAUGGCAAGCCUUACCGAAAACAAGUCUAUAAGGAGACAUCCCAAUUGGCGUCUUAUACGCAGUUCUAUAAGCCCAUAGUGCGUCUUCUAGCUUCAAGCUCCAAUCCUUCCUGUCCGGACGCACCAUCUUCUCCAAAAUCGACUUGAUUUCCCUGUUUGACACUUCGGCCUGACCGUUCGCCUGCGGGUGAUACGGUGUGGAUACCUUGUGCAGUACACCGUAUUUUCGAAACAAGGCAGUGAUAGUCUUGUUGCAGAAAUGUGUCCCUCUAUCACUAACCACAGCUCUUGGCAUUCCAAAACGGGUAAAGAUAUUAGAUUUUAAGAAAUCUGCAACCACUCUAGAAUCAUUAGUACGGGUGACUUUUGCCUCCACCCAUUUAGACACAUAAUCCACAGCAAGUAAAAUGUAUAGGAAACCAAAAGAUGAGGGAAAAGGACCCAUAAAAUCUAUCCCCCAAACAUCAAAAAUUUCAACAAACAACACGGGGGUUUGAAGCAUUUGGUCCUUACGAAAAAUAUUCCCCACCCUUUGACACCUAUCACAGGAUUUACAGAAUAAAUAAGCAUCUUUGAACAGAGUAGGCCAGUAAAAACCACUCUCCAACACCUUGCGAGCUGUUCGUUUGGGCCCAAAAUGCCCUCCACAUGCAAACGAAUGACAAAAAUUCAAAAUGGAGUGAAAUUCACCUGCACUUACACACCUUCUGAGCACUUGAUCCGAACACUGUCUCCAAAGGUACGGGUCGUCCCAAAUGUAAUACUUGGCGUCGCUCUUUAACUUGUCCCUCUUAGCCUUUGGCCACCCUGCAGGCAAUUGAUUAGUCACUAGAAAGUUUACCAAAUCGGCAUACCAGGGAGUAGACGAGUCAAUGGCCAAUAGUUGCUCCUCUGGGAACGCCUCCCUCAAUGGCGGCUCCUCCUUAUGAGCAAGUAAGCGGCUCAAGUGAUCAGCAACUAAAUUUUCUGCCCCACUCUUAUCCUUAAUUUCCAAGUUGAACUCCUGAAGGAGCAGGAUCCAUCUGAUGAGCCUUGGUUUAGCAUCCUUCUUCGUCAUCAAGUACCUCAAGGCUGCAUGAUCAGAGAAAACUGUUAUUUUUGCACCUAACAAAUAAGGUCUAAAUUUUUCUAAUGCAAAAACCACAGCUAGCAAUUCUUUUUCUGUUGUAGAGUAGUUGAGUUGGGCUCCGUUUAACGCCUUCGAUGCAUAGUAAAUUGCAUGAGCAGCUCUGCCAAUCCGUUGCCCCAGCACCGCUCCCACUGCAUAAUCACUCGCGUCACACAUUAUCUCAAAUGGGAGGUUCCAGUCUGGAGGUUGGAUAACCGGUGGUGACGUCAAUGAGUCCCUCAACCUGUCAAAUGCCACUUUGCACUCUUCGGUGAAGUCGAAUGCCACGUCCUUCUGCAAUAGCUUGAACAGGGCCGCUCCAAUUUUCGAGAAAUCUUUGAUAAAUCUCCUGUAGAAACCUGCAUGACCCAAAAAGGAGCGCACCUCCCGCACACUUGCGGGGUAAGGCAGAGCAGAAAUAAUAUCGACUUUUGCCUUGUCCACUUCUAUACCCCUGGCCGAAACUACAUGCCCUAAAACAAUACCAUGAUCCACCAUGAAAUGACAUUUUUCCCAAUUCAAAACCAAAUUUGUCUCAAUGCAUCUUUUCAAAAUUAAACCUAAAUUAUCAAGGCAUUCAUCAAAGCUAUCCCCAUACACACUAAAAUCAUCCAUAAACACCUCAAUAAUCUUUUCUACAUACUCAGAGAAUAUACUUACCAUACACCUCUGAAAAGUUGCUGGGGCGUUGCAGAGGCCGAAAGGCAUCCUCCGAUAUGCAAAUGUACCGAAGGGGCAGGUGAAGGUAGUUUUCUCCUGAUCCUCUGGUGCUAUUGCAAUCUGAAAAUAACCAGAGAAACCAUCAAGAAAACAAUAAUAGACACGGCCAGCUAACCUUUCUAUCAUCUGAUCAAUAAAAGGCAGAGGGAAGUGGUCCUUCUUCGUCACAGCAUUCAGACGCCGAUAGUCAAUGCACUGGCGCCAUCCUGUGGGUUUCCUCACCGGGAUCAUCUCACCCUCUAGGUUCUCUUCAACUGUUACCCCCGCCUUUUUCGGGACUACUUGCACCGGGCUCACCCAGGGGCUAUCUGAGAUGGCGAAGAUGAUCCCCACUUCUAGGAGUUUUAGUAUCUCCUUCUUGACCACUUCCAUCAUUAGUGGGUUCAAUCUCCGUUGCCCUUGUCUAACUGGCUUCGCAUCAUCCUCAAGCCGGAUCCGAUGCAUGCAUAAGGAGGGGCUAAUUCCCUUGAUAUCUGCUACACUCCACCCAAUUGCCUCCUUAUGAUCUCGGAGAAGACGAAGUAGUCUAUCUUCUUGCCCUGGGGACAGGUGUGCAGAUAUGAUGACUGGCAGUGUCUCAUUGUCCCCGAGAAAAGCAUACUUCAAAUGCUUUGGGAGAGGUUUGAGCUCCAACUCAGGCGCCUGCACAAUAGAAGGCAACAAUUUUGCCUGAGUUUUUGGUACAAAAACAGAAGUAAGCUCAUACCUUGGGGAAAUUGGUGGGAGCGAAUGUAGUGCUCCAACAGCGUGGUAUAGCUCAUCAUUUAUUUCUACAUCAAGAGUUGCUCCCAACUCAAGAUGUUUGGCCAAUGCCACUGCCAGUGCAUCAACCCCAUCCAAUUCAAAUAUUUCCUGUACAAGGGGCUCAACAACACUUAAAGCAUAAAUAGAGUUAGUCUCAUCUGGGUACUUCAUCGCCUCAAAAAUAUUAAAAUUUACAAUUUCCCCAUCAAACUCCAUCGACAAGGUACCCUCAUUAACAUCUAUUUUCGUCCUAGCAGUGCUUCAAAAUGGCCUACCUAACAGAAUAGGAGACGGAUUUAGUGCCCUUUCAUCCCCCAUGUCUAGGACAUAGAAAUCUGCAGGAAAAACUAACUCAUUGACCUGUACCAAAACAUCUUCAACUAACCCUUCCGGGUAAGCAUUGGUACGGUCUGCAAGUUGAAUUAUGAUGCCUGUGCCUUUUAACGGGCCAAGAUUUAGAGAUGCAUAAAUUGUCUUAGGCAUAACAUUAAUUGACGCCCCCAAAUCCAACAUUGCUUUCCUAAUUGGAGUACCUCCUAUCUUGCAGGGAAUGGUAAACAUACCUGGGUCUCCACAUUUUGGUGGGAGCUUCCUCUGGAGUAUAGCUGACACGUUUUCUCCCACCGCCACUCGUUCAUCUCCCCUUAGCUUCCUCUUGUGGGUGCACAGGUCCUUCAGAAAUUUGGCAUAUUUCGGUAUUUGCUUGAUUGCAUCCAGUAGGGGGAUGUUAAUCUCUACUUUCCUGAAUACAUCCAAAAGUUCCUUUUCCUUCUCUACUUUCCUUGUCUUUUCCAACCUGCAAGGAAAAGGGGGUAAGUUAGAGCUAAUAGUGAGUGGAGAGGUGGGGGUUACCUUAGGAUCUUCACGAAUACGUCCUUCCUCCUCAAUUUCCUUUUCUAUCUCCUCCUCGCUUUUGCUUUUUGGAUUCUUCACUUUAGGUCCUUCCAGCUCCUUGCCACUCCUCAGCGUCAUGGCACUUACAUUCCUGGGAUUUAUCUCGGGUUGCGAUGGCAGUUUCCCAUAAACGUGAGAUUCCAAGCGGUUGAUGGCAGUUGCCAGUUGACUUAUUCGAACAUCUUGGUCCUUCUUGUCAGCCUUGGUGUCCUGCUGGAGCUGCUCGGUUUUCGCGGCCAAGGAUCUGAUCUCCUGUUGAAGCUGUGUAGUAGUUGCGACCAGGUUGUUAGUAGUCGUGGCCAGGUUGUUAGUAGUCGUGGCCAGGUUCUUGACUAGGUCCUCCAAGGAGCUUCCUGUAUUGGAGGAUGAGGUUUGAGGUUUUGGUUGCCAAGGCUGGUAGAAUCCUGGUGGACGAUUCGGGAAUGAACCUUGUUGCCUGUUCCCAUAACUGAGAUUAGGAUGGUCUCUCCAACCGGGGUUGUAUGUGUUGGAAUACGGGUCAUACUCCCCGGCAACGGCGCCAAAAAUUGACAGGUGCCGAACCUGUGCAAUAAUAAUAAAUAAAUCCUAACUACCACCUGAAACAGUCAGUAAUCAAUUCGAGUACUGGAGCAGGGACUCUAGGUGUGCAAUGGGUUACUUGAUUCACCCUGUUCCCGAAGAGUUUGCUUAAUCCGAUAUAGCUGAAUUAAUUAUUUAACUGGAUUCCCUAACUAGUAGACAGUGAUAAGCAGGGUCGUCUCCUCAGGGACUGGAGAGAUAUUUGUUUCUUUUCAAAUCAAGAUUAAUGGGGGGGUUUUGGUAUCAAAGGCCAACUAAACAAAAUAAAUGUAGAAAGUAAUUGAUUAAAAACAAUAAUUGGAGAAGCUCUAGCCAAGGGUACACUUUAGGAAUGGUUCACGCAACUGAUCAUCGAUUCACAGAUAAUUCCAACUUUUAUUAAUAGAUUGGUUAUAGCUGUCUCGCACGCGCUAAACAACCAACCCUUCCUUAAUUUCUCGAUAGCCAAGGUACGACCGUUAGCUAUUUCUCUAACCCAAAAAUAACCCUAGGUACGACCGUAGGAUUUAAUUUCUAGAUUGCAGUAAUAAUUAGAAAGGCCCAAUCCUAACCAAUAAACACGCUACGAGGGUUUAUUUAAGCUAGAUCGUAUGCUCCCCUGACAUAAACCCAAUUAUGCCAGUUGCUACAAAGACAGAGAUAGCGAACAAUUACGGAUUCAGUUACCUCUAUUUAGCAAAAUAGCCUAUAUGAAUAAUUAAAUAUUGCGCAUCUAUUCAAUCACUCACAUGAGCUAUAGCGGUUAAAAGCAGGAAACAUAUGAAUACCAAUAAAUGCAGGAAAUAAUUAAAAGCGGUUUAGAUCUCACAGUAGUGGUGAACCCAUUCGUCAGUUGUCCCCUUGACUAGAUGGAGGAUUUAGCCACGCCACAUAAUUAAAUCACCACACGAAUUAAUAGAUUGCAAAAGCAUUGCGUUUCCUAUUAAGAAGCAGGGAAUAAAAGGUGUUUUUCCCGUUGGGGAAUAUUGUCGAACACCUGGCGUGUGUCAGAGGCCAGUCGGGAGAAAAGAGAAAAGAGACUAAAAACUAGGCUAAAAACUAAACUAAAAACUAGCGAUCCUUUUUUUUCUUGUACGUUCCCUCCUUAAGAGAUAAAAGAAAGAUAGACUAAAGCUAUCUAGGUGGUCCCCACACAUGUGGACAAAACCUCCUCAAGUACUUCCUCUUCCAAGUCUACUUCCGUAGCUCUCUUUGGAGAGCCCACAUGACUUAUGGCUUUGCGGUCCCCACCAAUCCAAAGGCCCAAGGAUUGAAGUCCUUAGAAGUCUCCAUAUUCUUCAUAAAGUCCCUCUUUUUUUGGUAGUUUGCUGCUUCCUCCUGAAAUUAAGUCCAUAUACCAAAUAUGAGUAGAUAUCAGCAAUUAACACAAUAUUUAUCAGGGAUAAAAGGGGAAAUUAAUAAUAAAAUGACUAACAAAUUACACCCUAUCAAUCUCUUACUUCAGCAAGCAUACCAAGAUCUGUCUAUCAGACUGGUCUGUCUGUGUAAACGAGAAAUUCUUCUAAUGGAGUAGCAUCUAUGCAAGAGACACCCCGAGAGGCACUUUCCAUUUCAAACAAUUUCACGGCCAAGAUUAGAUUGCAGUAAUGGCCGCGACAUGGUUUUUAGUUGGGGCCCACAAAGCGGUGCCGUUCCGUGUCGGACAAAGAAAAGUGAAAAUUAAGGACUAAUAACAUGCCCGCAUCUGGAGGACACAUCGUUGUGAGAGGAAAAAUUUAACAGGUUGGGAUUUUGGAUCCUUCCGCUUACAGUAUUAAAAAAAAAACUCUAUAAAAUUUUUAAUGAAACCCAACAUAGAGAAAUAAGGUCCCAACUUCUUCAAAAUUUUGGAAAGUGAAAAUAUUUGCGGUCCUACCAAUUCUAGAUUUAUUGAAGUUUUGCUCGUUAGUUUUGUUUCUUUUUUUUUAUUAUUUUUUUAAUGUAACUAGGAGACUCGAACCGAAAACCUUUCCCUCAGACUCUCUCAUCUGGAACCAUCCAAUCCAAUUCUCCUCCUCCGAACAACUGUUGUGCAUGUUGGUUGAUAAUUUGAAAAAAAAAAAAAAAAGAUUUCCUCAUAUCAUGAAAGUAUCAAGUAUGUCCUCGGAUUUUUAGAAUAUUCAUAGAUAUUGGAAACUUUUUUGUCUUUGUUUGUUGUAAUUACAAGGGGAUACAAAAGGCAUUUGCUUGUUUCCAUACUUGUGAAGAAAUUCUCAAUAUCUAACGACCACUGUGAGAAGAAAAUUAGAAAAAAAAUCCUGACUCUCUAAUUAUCCAAAUUGAAUGGUAGAUUAGGGCUAUUAUAAUUUCUUAAUUGGCAAAUAAAACUUUUGAUUUGAAUUAGUCUUGUUGAAGAACAAUAUAGAAAUCUUCAUGGCAGUGUUGUGUGUAAGAGUAUGUAAAAACACUGUAAGUAUAUUUGAUUUUUGAAUAAUUGCAAAACAAUGGAUGGCUGAGUUGUUAUGAGUUAGCCGAUUGAAAACAUUUUGAUCAAAUUAGUUGAUGCUGUUUUUACACCCAAGUGUUAAAGGCAUUAAAACCAAUUUGCAGAUAUUUACACCAGUAGUUAUUAAUUUAACACUUUUAAGUCCUGCCCAAUCCUACUACCUUACAACCAUUUGUUGGACAUUGAGCCUUUUUUUUUUUUUUUUUGGGACAUUGGUUACCAUACGGGCCUUGUGCAUAUCCUAACAAGCUUAUAAAUAUCAUUCAUGAUGCUGAUCCUUGACUUUGUCCCCAUAGGCAAGAGUCAGGUGGAAUUCCAUGUAGGUUUUGAUAAUACAAGAUUAACGAGGGUGAUAAUUGUUUUUGCAAUACAGGGGAUGAACGGCAUUGGGAAGCAGACAAUGGAUAUUCAAUGAACUUUUUUUUAUUUGAAUGAUGUAAAUUGUGAAACAUAAGACACCCAUUUGGUGUAAACCAGUUGUGCAGAUCCAACAACAUUUGGUAUAAACUCGUAUAAUUUCAGUGAGAUUAUGAUUUUUACACAAAUCUAGUUGUAUAAAUCACAAGCUCAAGUUUUACACAAAGUUGUAUGAAUUUAUACGAAAUGCAAUAAUAAUUACACAACUAAUUUGAAUUGGAUAACAACUCAAUUUGUAAAGCCCCGAAUCCUAUUUACCAGUACAAGGAUAUGGUUCUAUUGGUUAACGUUAAAUUGUAAGUUGUUGACAUUCAAAAGAUGAACUAGGUGGUGGCACUAGAGCAAUCUAGAUGAUGUAUAUUAGAUGAAUUUUUUUGUUACACCUUGCAAGUUUAAAACCCAAAAGAUGUGCAAUCUGAACUAAAUUGUCUCGAAGAGAAGAUUGGCAAACUAAACCUACUAGAAAAAAAAAAGAAGGAAUUAUUCUAAUGGAUAUAAAAUAGAUACUCGUUAAUACAGUUAAAUUGCAUUCAAUCUACCAUAUCAAUGUAUAUAUUAACAAUUAUUAUCUUCUCUUAGAGUUUGACACUUUCCCUGAUUAACAUUACUUUAACUAUUAUUAUCCUCCCUUAUAGUUAUAUACUUUUCCUAAUUAACUUUACUUUUCUAAAAAUUUAACGCCUAAAAUACAUAUUAAUUAGUGCCUUGUUAGACUGACUCAAAAAGAAAUAUUACGGCCAAGCAAGAGGACCAAACUUGGAGUACAGAAGUAUGAUUUAAUACCAAAAUGGACAAAAAAUUAACUGGAUCACAACUAAACCACCUAAAAAAAGUGUUUUCGUUUUUGUAACUCCUCCAUUAUCUGUAGAGUGACUAGGGAAAAGUAUCAUAAAACGGGUGCUAGGUAGGCUUCGAAUCCUCUGUCUCCAAAGUAAUCUCUGUCCCCGAAGUAGGUAUCUAUACAAUAAUUAACGGAGAAAAGUGGCAGUUGUGGUAAACAUUUUGCAUCAUUUUUGAAACUUUCAAUUUUGCCUUUGAAAAUUAAUUUUUACUCUAACCACCUAAUCACAUUUGCUAAUAUAAUCUCUCAUAACUCUGGUUCAUAACAGUAAAUUAUUUUUUUUUUUAGUAUAACUGGGAGAUCUCAAAACGUUCCAUUUUAUCAUCAAAUUGUUUGAAAACCUUGAUAUUUUUCAGCCAGUCAUAUGUCCUCAACUAUUAAAAGAGAUAUCAUCUUACAGACGAAUCAGUAAAGAAUGAGUUUCUGAAACGUUAUUGUCUUGACAAGUUCAUGGCAGAGUUCAACAUAAUGCACAAUCAAACUGAUGAUCUCAUAUAUGAACUACUAAUAAGGACUUUGGUAUCCCCAGUUGCUUCAGCAAUUCUUUAUGCAGACUCUUCUACAGUUUGUCUGCACCAGUGCGCUUCAAUCACUUCCAGUGUACCUAUGUCUGCAAAAUCAUAGGGAAUUUCCUCGAGGUCUUUGCAACUUUGCAAGACAAGCCGUUCAAGUUUGGGAAGGUGAUCACAAGUCGCAUUCCACUGAGAAACGUUCAGAUUGUCUAAUUUCAAGAAUUUGAUUUCCUUGAACUGUUCUUCCUCCAUGUCCCAUGUCAGCCCUUCAAAGGCACCGAGAAGCAAUUUGAGAACUCCCAGGUUGGGCAGUCUCCCAAUAGUUGAGAUAUGACUCUGACAGGGUGUCGAAGCCUGUGCAAUAAUAAAACCUGCUCAAACUAAAAGUAAUUUCUGUAGAUAGUGGUGAGCAGGGUCGAAUCCACAGGAACUGGAAGUAAUUGUUCCUUUUCAAAUUCACAGUGACAAGGGAGUGUUUUUAUUUCAGGAGUGACAAUUUAAGCAAUUCAACUAAAAGUAAAAUAAUAAAAAUAAAAUAGCCAACUAGAAAUUAAAUAACAAUUUACUAAAAUCAAAUGAGUGAUAAUUAAGGGUCUAGCCAAGAAAUAACUUCAGCAAUGGUGCACCUAAUUGAUCAUUGAAACAAAGGCAAUCCCAAUUAUUUGCUAAUAAAUAGGUUAUAACUGCCAAACAAGCGAUGGCAGUCAACCCCUCCUUACUGUGUCGGUGAUCAAGGUACGCCCGUUAAUCACUUCUCUAAUUGAAAAACAAUCCUAGGUACGCCCAUAGAAUUUAAUUCCCCAAUUGCCUUACGUAUUAGAGGAGCUCUAUUCUAACCAAAAACGCACUACCAGAGUUAUUUUAGAUUAGCCCGCAUAUCCCCCUGAUACAAACCCAAUCAUGCCAGUUGUCACUAUUUUGUGACAAUUAAACAAUUACGGAUUUAACGUCCCAAUUGACAAUAGAUUAUCAAAUUAACUAAUUAUCCGGAUCCAAGACAAUCAAUCAAUUAAACAAUCAUAAGCACUGUAACCAGGGAAUAUGCGAAUACCAAUAAAUAAAAAGAAAAGAUAAAAUUGAAUCGAUCUCACAAUUUUAGGUGACUCAGAGCCUUCGUUGCUCCUUGACUAGAAAAAGGGAUUUAAGUCAUCCCUGACACAAGGGACCCACGCACAAAUUCAGAAAUAAUUGCGGCCAUGGUCCCCGAUUUUGAGAGCUCGGUUCGAAUCAUGAAAUGAAAAGCUAACUACAAAAGUGAUUGUCCCUACAAAAGCUAAACUACAAAAGCUAAAUUCAUUGCCCCUGACAUCCGCGCAGGGAGCCACUACUCAAAGACGCAAAAACGGAAAAGUCAAACGGAAAGCUAAGCUAAAGGUCCUCAUUACUCAGAAGGAAAACUACUACAGAAAAGCCAAAAAACUAGUGCUAGUCCUCUCUUCGAUGUGCGGCGGCUCCCCCAGGGGGAAGAAGACGCAGAGGAAGAAGAAGCACCCCUUUUUUCCUGCACAAUUUUCCUAUAUAAAGUAGUGCUCCUUGCGGCGGCUCCUGUGCGGAAAAAUGAAGAUUUCGGCCCAAUUUGCCCAACAAGGGCUCAUGUUUUGUUGUUCCAAAAAUGUCCUUAGGACAAGCUCUAUCAUCUGGACUCUUUUCCUGCCAAAUUAACACCUGUUAUUAUAUUUUCGUUCUAUUCCCUGAAAUAAAUGCAAAAUACUAAAAGUGAGUAGAAUCCCGCAAUUAAUCCACAUCAAGUCAGGUAAUAGGAGGAAUUAAUAAUGAAAUAAAUGAUAAAAUUGCAACCUAUCAGACUCCAGGAUAGACGAAAGUUUGAAAGAGUCAAUUUCCUCAGAUUGGAAGGCAGAAUGAAUUCCCUGGUAAUAGCGCUUCCAUAGUAAAAUACAUUGAGCGACACCAAAUGAGUUAGAAAAUCUAAUCUUGGAAACUGAUAGGAAAUCUUCGAAGAACCCUGUGGAUGAAAGAAUAUGCAUCUCAGUUUCUGAAGAUUUGGCAACCUCUUUAUUAUUGAUUCUACAUCUUCACCACAAGAGAGAGAGAGACGGGAAAAGCUGACCAAAUUUCCCAACUGAGAGCAGCCUUCGAGCCCUUCAUCAUCCAAUGUGAAAGCAACAUGCAUAUUCACAUGAAGAUGCCUCAACCUUGUCAUGUGCCAAAUAGUAUCUGGUAAGACAUUUGCCAAAUAGUACAAGGGGACACAAAAGGCAUUUGCUUUUUUCCAUACAUGUGAAGAAAUUCUCGAUAUUUAAUGACUGCUAUAAGAAGAAAAUUAGCAAAAAUCCUAAUGAUCCAAAUCGAAUGGUAGAUUAGGGCUAUUAUAAUCUCUUAAUUGGCACUGUUUGAAUUGGUCUUGCUAAAGAAGAAUUUAUGUAAUAGUACAUAAAAACAUUGCAAAGAAACUUGUCCCUUCUGAUUAUUUAGCUGCUGUAGAUAUAUUUGAUUUUUCAAUAAUUACAGAAGAAUGCGUGGUUGAAUUGUUAUGAGUUAGCCCAGUGAAAACAUUUUGAUCGUGAUGUGAAUUGCUUUCAGAUACAAAACUUUGGAAGAAACUUGUUUAUUGCUAAUUCGAUUUUGGUUAGCUUAUAAGUAGUUGUUGGGAAUUCACACUACUGAUUAUUAUUUAUACAUUUAAGGGUCAAUUCAAUAUUUGAUAUCUUUAGCUUACAACAAAAUGGGGGAGAUUUACAUUGUUGAUUACUAUUAUUACAAGUUGUAAGCCAGUAUUACACUAGUUGGUUUACAAGCAAUUCUUGGACAUUCAAAUUAGUAGCUGCUGUUUUUACACCCAAGGGAUAAAAGUAUUAUUGUAGUUUGUUUAAAACCAAUUUGUGGAUAUUUACACCAGUAGUUACUACUUUAAGUGCUGGCUAAUCUUGUUACUCUACAACCAUUUGUUGGACAGUGGACAUUGGUUAAUAAAUCCGCCUUAUGCAUAUGCAAACAAACUUAUUAAAGAUACACUUGCAAGCUAGAGUUGGCUUGAUAUUAUGAAGGCAUGCUCAAGGAUUCUUAAUUAGGUUCGAAAAUUUUGCAUUAAAUUGGGUUAAAUAUAAGAAAACCUUUUAUCGUUUGUUGAAUGUUUAACUUUAACUCCUUAAGAUUCAGAAACCUACAUUCUAACUCCUUAUGAUUUUAACUAAAUUGAAAGUUGGAUAGAAACUAUCUAAACUAAUGGUUGCAUCUAAGAUGUCAAAAUUGUCCUUUAUAAAUAAUAAGAUUUAAUACAAAGAUCUAAUAAUGAUUUUCUUUGCUGGAAGAAUGUAGUUGCUAAAGGAAUCAAUAAGAUUGUUUACCACAAGGGGUAGGAAUGUAGUUUUCGAAUCAUAAAGAGUUAAGAAUAUACAUUAAAGGACUUAUUGAAAUUAUUUAUCAGGAAGAGUUAGAAUGUAAGUUUUUGAAGUUGUUAAAGGAUUAAUUGAGAUUGAUUACUACGAAAGGCAAGCAUAUAGGUUUCUGAAGCAUAGAGAUUUAAGAAUAUAGAUAGUACUGUACCCUUCCAUUGAUAUGCAGGUAUGACAAGUAGUUUUAGGUUAAGCAUUUUGUUUGUUUAGCAAUCUAUUUUUCAAUUGUAUUGUUGAGUACUUCAUUCACAUACAUAAUUUGAGCAUUUGCACUCUUUUUAGGUGUGUAAUUACCAUUUUUUAGAUGGCUUGAAAAGGCCUGAAUGUUUGUCACUCUUUGUUAUUCAUUAAUAUAUGUGAAAAUGAAAGUCCAUAAAUUGUUAGAGUCUAAUUUUUUUAAUGCUAGAAAUUAUUUGACUAGUUGAGAUUGCUAAGUAAUCCUUGUAACAAGUUUAGUGCACUAAAUUACUUACAAUCUCAGAAGAUAUGUUACCUACAACUGUAGAUUUUCUUGUUAGAUGUUGUCUUUGUUUUCUUUUUUGCCUAUCAAACUGUAGUUUGGGAAGCUAUUUCUAUUUGAAAUUCUUGUUAGUAUGCAUUCACAAUAUUUCAUUUGCAACUCUAGAGCAAAUUUGGAAUUUUUUUUUUAGCUUUAGUUGGAGUGUGAGAUGUUUACAUUAGUUAUUGCUCACGGUCUUAUAAUUGGUAUUCAGCAUCUACAUAUAUUUGCUACGUAUUAUUUAUCUUUUUUAUUUCUUAUUUAUUGUCUUUGAUGUUAUUUUCAAUAAUAAUACAGGACAUUUUUUAUUUUACCUCAUAGCUAUAGAAAUUGUUUACCAUCCACAUUUUUGUAGUUUAUUAAUUAUAGGCUAAAAAAUGUUGUAUAGAGCCUUUCAGUAAAACAAUGUUACUUAUUUUGCUUCCGGAACUCAUUUUAUCACAUAUCAAAGCAAGAGCUAUUUAUUUUUUCACCAAAUCUUAGCAUAAUAAAAAUAUUAACUUGCUUAGUAUAGUUGUGUUAUUUGUUUUGACUCUUGAUAAACAAUGUGUACACUUUUUUCUAUAUUAGUCUGUUCUUAUAAUAAUAAUUCUGCUUGAAAAUAUAAUAUGAUAAAUUAAUUCUGCAUCGCAAAGGAAAAGACAAUUAACUAAUCCUUUUAAAAGAAGAACACUUAACUAAUGGCCAAGGUAAUGUUUUUAGAAUCUUUUUCGUUGCUAAAUUUAGGUUUCGAAUCCCCUGCCUAGCAGUUAGGUGUGGCCUUGUGAUUUCAACUUUUAUGCAGUUGCUUUUGCACUUCUUCUUUGAUUAAAGGAACACCGUUAGUAAUGCUGCAACUACAAUUCUCUAUUGCUUUACUGGAUAGCCUUGGUGAUCGUUAUGCAUCAUAUUAUGGCCUAUUAAGCCAUAAUAUGAAAGAAAGGAUGGUAUACUGAUUAAAAUUAGAAUUAGUAUCAUGUACCGAUUAAUACGAGCACCUUGUUAGAAGUAGGGUUGCACACGAUUCAAGCUACUCGCAAGUCACUCGCGAGAAGUUUGAGUUGAGCUCGGUCAAUAUCGAAAUCGAACUCAAGUUCAAAAAUACUCAAUUCGUUAGCCCGUGAAUCGACUCGAUUUUAUAUAUAUAUAUAUAUAUAUAUAUAAUUUAAUAGUAAAAUUACAUAUAUAUCCCGAAUGCAUUACCAACAAAACCAACUUAAACAACUUGAAUUCACCUUUCCAAAGAUCUCAAGCAAUAAUUGAUAGUUGAGUAUCCAGAUUGAACAUCCAUUGCGUCAAUUAGUUUGAAGUUGAAGAAACACAUCAUCUCACAAAUGAAUCGAGAAAAGAACAAGUUGCUGAAAUUUUAUUAUCUUACAAGUUCGUAGAGUAAUACAACAGAAUCCACAAUCAUGCUCAUCAUCUCGAAUAUGAACUAAUAAUGACUUUGAUGUCCCCAACUGCUUCCCCGAUUCCUUUUGCAGACUCUUCUGCAGAUUGUCCACACCAGUGCACUUCAAUCACUUCCAGUGUACCUAUGUCAGCAAAAUCAUUCGGGAUUUCCCCGAGGUCUUUGCAAUUUUGCAAGACAAGCCGUUCAAGUUUGGGAAGGUGAUCACAAGUAGCAUUCCAUUGACAAAUGUUCAGAUCGUCUAACUUCAAGAAUUUAAGUUCCUUGAACUGUUCUUCCUCCAUUUCCCAUACCAGCCCCUCAAAGGCACCAAGAAGUAACUUGAGGACUUCCAGGUUGGGUAGUCUCCCAAUUGUUGAGAUGUGGCUCCAUGGUAGGUGAAAGUUUGAAAGAGUCAAUUCCCUCAGAUUUGGUGGGAGAACGAAUUCACUGGUGAUGGCUCUCCCAAAGUAAAAUACAUUGAGCGACACCAAAUGAGCAAG